GAUGAACGCUAGCGGCAGGCUUAAUACAUGCAGGUCGAGGGGUAGCAAGAUGGUAGCAAUACAAUUGUUGACGACCGGCAAACGGGUGCGGAACACGUACACAACCUUCCUACAAGUGGGGAAUAGCCCAGAGAAAUUUGGAUUAAUACCCCGUAACAUAGCGAUGUGGCAUCACAUUGCUAUUAUAGCUUCGGCGCUUGUUGAUGGGUGUGCGGCUGAUUAGAUAGUUGGCGGGGUAACGGCCCACCAAGUCUACGAUCAGUAGCUGAUGUGAGAGCAUGAUCAGCCACACGGGCACUGAGACACGGGCCCGACUCCUACGGGAGGCAGCAGUAAGGAAUAUUGGACAAUGGACGCAAGUCUGAUCCAGCCAUGCCGCGUGAAGGAUUAAGGUCCUCUGGAUUGUAAACUUCUUUUAUAAGGGACGAAAAAAGGUCUUUCUAGAUCGUCUGACGGUACCUUAUGAAUAAGCACCGGCUAACUCCGUGCCAGCCGCCGCAGUAAAAC
rnacentral:rRNA from 1 species